rnacentral:rRNA from 1 species
CACGUAGGGGGCAAGCGUUGUCCGGAUUUAUUGGGCGUAAAGAGCUCGUAGGCGGCUUAGUAAGUCGGGUGUGAAACCUCCAGGCUCAACCUGGAGACGCCACCCGAUACUGCUGUGGCUAGAGUCCGGUAGGGGAGCGUGGAAUUCCUGGUGUAGCGGUGAAAUGCGCAGAUAUCAGGAGGAACACCAAUGGCGAAGGCAGCUCGCUGGAACGGUACUGACGCUGAGGCGCGAAAGCGUGGGGAGCAAACAGG